CCACAAGCCCCUUCAGUACAAACAAACCAAAGGUCAAAGUGUACAUUUACGGUAGUUUCAGACAGAAUCUUCUGUAUAUCUGUUAAUAAGUCAGAGGGUGUAUAUUCAGAUAGGGAAGUCUACCUCUCCGUUUUCCUUCGCUCAGGUUGAUUGACAAUGGCGUCAGAGGAGACAGGUGUGCCUUUGGACUCAGCUGAGAACCUGGAGGACAGGAGAGCAUAGAGCUACAGAGGGGCCAAAGACAGAGGUCCCAGCCAGUCCCAGCCAAGAUAGACCUCAGGUGACAGCAGGCCAGGAAGAGGGAGCAGUUUUCUGUCAGUUCUUCCUGUUGGGAAAGUGUCGUUUUGGAAACAGGUGUCGUCGAUCUCACAGCACUCCAACAUUAGACAACCCAGAGGCUGUUAUAGACCAGGAAAACAGGAAGGAGGGAGAAAAAUAGGGAAAACUCAAGAAGAAAGCAAUAGGGAAUAAAACAAACCAGCCAAAAGACAGAGGGAAAAGGAUCAACCAAGAAGCCCCGCAUGCAUACAGCUGAUGACGUCAUCUCUCGGAUCCUGUGGGACCCGUCGGUGGAGCCGGCGGACUUUGUGGUGGGGUAUGUGGAGUGCUGGGGUGCUGGAGCGGCCCUUCUCUGAGUUCAACUGGGACACCGACCCCUGCGAUUGUGACAACUCCUCAGAGCUAGCCCUGCCCAGACACAGGAUUCAGUACUUCACCCAUAGAGGGCGUAGAUUCUGGGACCGCAACAACAGGACUGACAGGGAUCCACUGGACAGUGUCUGGCAGCCCCCUUUGGGCAGGAGGAGGAGCAAGAGGAUAAGAGAGGGCGAGGAGGAAGCAAGGGCGAGGGAGGGUGG